rnacentral:lncRNA from 1 species
GUUUAUUCAUUAGAGAUCACUGAUGGGGAGAGUACUAGUCAUCAAGGUGCCAUGAGGAGGCUGGAACCUAAUAUUCUAUGGAAGGCUUAGCUUUUGGUUCUGCCUUAUAAUUACAAACUGCAAAUGAUAGAAUCACUGGAAGCAUGUUUUAUCAGAAUGCUUCCUACUACUGCAUACAUAUGAAUCUUAUAACUUCAAUUCUUGUAUUCUUUUAUAUCUUUCUCUACCCAAAAAGAACAUACUUGUUAUUAAGGGUCAUUUUCCCCCCUCUGUACUUUUCUUGCUAGUAAGUAAUUCAUAUUCUAGAGAGCAAAUUUUAUUUUCUUCUUCAAUGUUUUUGGAUAACAUCCAUUGAAUGUUUUAGGGUUUAGGAAGUUCCUGAGAGAGCCUAAGGAGGUUACACAGUGAUCCUAACUGCUGCUAGAGUUGGGUUGACAUUCCUCCACAACUAAAAUUUAACAUAUAAGCUUUGCAACUCUAAAACACACUCUUUCAUUUGGGAAAAGAACUUAAUUUAUUUUAUUUGUAACUAGGCAAGCAAUAGCAUAGCAAAUCAUUGUACAUGGGCUUCAGUGGCUUGUUGGAUUUGUGGAUGAGGCCUUAUUUCUUAACCAUUGAAUCAAAUUGGUUAGUCAUUGAAUCAAAUUGGUUAAUUUGAUUCAAUAGUUAAGAAAUAAGGUCUCAUCUAAGGUCCUCCAUGAUUUGGUCUUGUCACUCCACACACUACGCUCAGACUAUAAUGAGUGGUAAGUUAUAAAGGGUAAGUUAUAAGGGGUUCACUUUAUAGCCAUCAGAUCGAUCACAUGGUUGAACUGUUAUGCUACAAUCGGGUUGAAAUUACCCAUACCAAAAGAUGCAAUCCGAAAGUGCAAAGCACGCUCUCUCAUCUUGGUUGACCCUCCUUCCCCGAAAGCCACCCACUCUGCAAUAUGUUCUUCUUGUCUCUCUCGCUCUAGCCAUCUCUGGUUUGAGGUUAUCAAAGAACCAAACUCCAUUCGGCAAAUAUCUUGCAACCAACACAGACAUAGAGAGUUUUGAGUCUUUUUUUAUUAUUGACACUUUAUCACCCCAAAAGUUUAUUUUCUGACGCCCAACUCCAGCUCGCCAGCUAUCUCCCUACUGUCCAAUCCAAUUCUCCACCCAUCCAUCGUCAUAACCCAACUCUACUCAAAUUCGGAACCCUAGUUUGACCUAGCCAAGCUGUCGCAACUCACGACCUUUGUUGUCGACCUCCACCGUGAAGCCACUAUCGCGACUCCACAGCCAAGCCACAGUCGCGACCUCCGUCGUCGUUCUCCACAGCGGUGAGUUCUGAUAUUGGUUUUGUACUUUAUGUCUGUUAUAAAUUCAUUGAUCCCCUUUUCUUAUUAUUGCAACAGUAGGGGCAUUCAUGGGCUCCAUUUUUGGCUACGGUCCUCUCUCUCUCUUCGUCUCCUUCUCUGUAAGUCCUCUUCUUCUCCCUCUUCAAAUUUCAGUAAUCCUCCGUACCAUUGACCUGAAACACCUACUUCUCUGGUUCUCUUCUUCGAUCAUGUCAUUCAAUUUUAAUUUUUUUUUCCUUUCUAAAUUCUACUUUAGGGAUUUAGGAAUUAGGGAUUCAGUUGGGUUAAUUUUCGAAAUUCUAAUUUAGGGAUUCAUUCAAUGCCUAAUUUAUGAGCUGUGGCUUUAUGAAUUAUCAAGUGGACUACUUGUUUUUAAUUGAUCAUUGAUAAUGGUAUUAUUGUAGUUUUUAAUUGAUCUUUGCAUAUUUCAGAUUUUAGCCUUAUAAUUUUAAUGGCUGUGUGUAGACAGGUUAUUAAAUUCUUCUAGUAUUAAUGGAAGUUGUGUUACUAAAUUACCAGUACCUACGCUCUUGGUUGACAUGGUUGUUCUGAAUUGUAAGAUUAGCUUACAACUGAUGGCGCUCCCACAACCAACAACCCACAACCCCAUCCAAAUCAUACCCACCCUCCUUGCGAUGGCUCCAAGGACGGAUCUACCAUGGGGUCAAUGGGGUCAGACGACCCCAUGACAGAUCUGGAGUUUAGUGGUAAGGACUGGCUUUUGCCCUUGGCAGCUAUGGAAGUGACCCCAAGGAGAAGAAGAAGAAGCUUCGGUGGUGGCAGCUGGAGCAAGAAGAAAGAGAGAGAAGGAAGAGAGAUGGAGCAGACGGAGGAGAGAGAAGAAAGAAAAGAAGAAGAGAGGAAGAAGGAAAAAGAAUAAAAACAGAGAGGGGAAAAAGGAAGAAGGAAAAAGAAUAAAGAAAGAGGGAGACGGGAGGAGGGAGAGAGAGAAAGAGGAAAAAAGAAUAAAAAAGAGAGGGAGUGAUUAAAAAGAGAGAGAGGGGAAAAUAUAAUAAAAAAGAGAGAGGGGAAAUAUAAUCUUUUUCUUUUUCUUUUUUCUUUUCUUUGUUUUCUUUCAAAUCCUUCUAAAUAUUUCAACAAUAUUAUCUAGGGGUGGGCACGGUUCGGUUUGGACUGGUUCCGGGGGAAAAAUGGAACCUAAUCCGAUAGUGCAGACCGGUUCGGUUUGGACCGGUUCUGCUCAACAUCCAUACAGAAAUCCGAACCAACCCGGACCUGUCCGGUUCCGGUUCGGUUCUUGCGGUUCCGGUUUUUUUUUUUUUUUUUUUUUUUUUUUUUUUUAAUUUUAAAUUUUAACAAAUCUGCCCAAAAUGUAUUUUAUAUACUAACAUACCCCAAAUUUGAGGUUCCAUCAAGCUUUCAACACAUUAAAAUGAAUCCAACUUCAACAAAAAUACAAUCCAAAUUCAAAUGAAUCCAACUUCAACAAAAAUUCAAUCCAACUUCAACAUCAUCAAAAUGAAUCCAACUUCAACAAAAAUACAAUCCAAAUUAAAUCCAACUUCAACAUAUAAAUUACAACCCAAAUUAAAUCAAACUUCAACAAAAUAAGUUCCAAAAUAAAUUACUAGCCAAAUACAACCCAAAUUCAAUCCAAAUAUACAUUACAACCCAAAUUAAAUUCCUCCUAACAUUGAAAAGUAGUUGGAGCUAUGGUGCUAGGUGUGGAUGAACUCAUAAUAUCUACAUAAAAAAAACAUAAACCCAUUAAAACAUUAGUCCAACAUACAUAUUAUAUAAUACAUUAAUAAAGCACAUAUAAAAUUACAAAAACAAAAAACAAAGAAAAAAACUUAACAUGAUAUAUAUUAACAAAAACACAACUUAACAACAUAAACAACCCUCAUAUAUACAAUCCAAUUACAAAUUAUCAUUUCCAACUAAAUGAUAAUAUCAACACUUAACUAGAAAGCAACUGAAAAACAGAAACCAAUUAACUGAAAAACUGAAACCAAUUAUACACUGUCAAACCUAUGACAGCAGUAAUAAAGCAAAACAAAAAUAUGCAAAACUGAAAAUCUGCAAAACUGAAAAACUGCAAAAUGAAAAACUGAAAAACUGAACAGCAACAGCAGUAAUAAAGCAAAACAAAAAUAUGCAAAACUGAAAAUCUGCAAAACUAAAAAACUGCAAAACUGAAAAACUGAAAAACAAAGAUUAAAGCCCGACUAGGAUAGUAUGGUGAUUACAAAAUGUAGAGAUAUCUAAGUCUUCACAUUUGUGUGUGAUGAGAGAGAGAUUUCUACUAAUCUAAAACUAGAGGGUAAAAUAAAUUGGAAAUUAAGCUCAGAGAACAGUGCAUGGAAGCAAAACCAAAUAUUCCUCCAUAUAAUUUCUGCUAAAUGUAAAAACAAACAACUGACCGAUACAAAAGGCAUGAGUGGGUUCUUAAUUAAACCUUUUUGGCUCUUUGCAAAAAUUCCAGUGAAGUUCGUUGUGAAACUAUGGCCCUUCAAACCAAUUUUUUUCACAUUUUGGAGAAAAGAGAGUUGAAUUUUUGCUUCUUUUAGAAUCUUUUUUUAAAGUUAACGUGAAAUUGGAUCCAGAUGAAAACUUUAAUAAUCUUCUCUUCUUUUUUUAAUAAAAAGUUUUCCGGCGAAUUUCACCAGAACAUUGCAACACAGAUGCACACAGAUGGCAGAGCAAAUGCGAGCAAAUUGUGGAAUUGACCAACAAGAGAAACAAAGCGAAUGAAAGGAUGAAAAUAGAUGAACAAACCACAACCAUCACAAUUGUACAGGAGCACACAUAGACAGCUUAAAUAAACAUAAUAUAAAGUUUAUAAACUUACAGAAGCUUUGAAUUUCUCAAGCUCUUUCUCUUGUUUGUGUUGGAGCUGUCGCUGUAGUGCCUGAUUCUCCUCAGACAUUCUGAUUCUCCUUGCACGAAUCUGAGACUGCACACGAGCAAGAGUCUGCAUGCAUCUUAGUGUGGUAGUUGCUUGCCGUUUAACAGAUUGGCCCUCUAUCAAUGAUUUCAACCUCACCAACCCCCUCAAAGCCCGCAAUGCCCUUCUUGCCUGAAAAUCACAAAUUACAUAAAAGCUCACUUAACACAUACAGCUCAUAGCUCAAUAAUGGACAUAGAGAUGGUCAGACAGAGAAUCGAAGGGGGAAAAGAAACAAAACGAAAAAACAAAGAAAAAAGAAAGCCAGAAGAAUUGAACCUGCUUGCGUGACGAGGACGACGGCGCGACGGCUGAAGAAGAACAAGGAUGGCUGCAACAAUGGUUUCACGCAGAGGAAAGGAAAGGUUCUUCGGGUUCGGCGGCUCUGAAAUCAGAGAGAGGGAGAGGAAAAAAAUCGAAGAAGGAAGAAGAAACCCCUAAAUCGUGUGUUUUAGUUGUGAUGAUCCUGUGUGUGUGUGCGUACGGUAGUAUUUUAGAUACCCAAUACAAAACAGCCACAUGUUAACUAUAUAUAAAAUAUAAAAUAUAAAUAUAUAAAAUAUAUAAAAUAUAUAUUAAUUAAUUAUAUUGGACCGGUUCGGAUUGGACCGGUUCCUUGUAGUAGAAAACCGAAACCGGAACCGGUCUGAACCGGUUCGGUUUGGAUUUGACUCGGUUUUUUACUUUUUUAGUCAACACGGUUUUUUCCGGAUUUUUUCGGUUUGGUUUGGUUCGGUUUUGCGGUUUUGCGGUUCUAAUGCCCACCCCUAAUAUUAUCAAUGAUUCCAACAUUUUUUCUAUUUCAAAUGUCGUAUAAUAACAAAAAGUUCUAAAUAUGAUGAAGAAAAUACACUGAAAAAAGAUUGCUUAUAUAAAAUAAAAAUAUAGUAAGGGCUUAUAAUUUAUCCAAAAAAAAAAACCCGUUCAUGUGGGUUACCUCUAGUUUUCAGUUAAUACAAUCUAUUGUUCAAGCCUAAAAAUCUACAAAAACCAACCAAAAUCCACAAAAACUCACCAAAUUUUCUUAAUACAUUUGUACUUAAGGUAAAUUUAGCCCGCCCGAUUUGCAAUUCCUGGGUCCGUCCCUGUCCACCACCAAUAUCUCAUCCCUUGACAUCGCCGCCAAGGGUGCUAGCUGCCGUUUACCAACAGCCGUCUCCGUUGCCGCCACUAUUUUUGUGAUCCCACGAGUGGCAAUUCCUGCAUCCGCCACUGGAUGGCUCUGCCCCUCACUUUAUAUCACAUCUUUGAUUUUGUUGAUGAUAUAUAUAUAUAUAUAUUGUUUUUAAAAGAAAAAUAUAAUAUUUCGUCUUGGGGAAAGAGGGGUUGGGACUGGGUGGGAUGGUGAGGGUGAGACCAUUUUUCCUAAUGAAACUGAAGUUGAAGAACCACAGAAACAAUUUUGAAAAUUGAGUGACCAAAAUACGAAUCGGAUCAAAAUUCAAGAACCAUUAGACCUAAAAACCCUAAGUAAGAUUAUGUUCAUGCUCAAUUUUUGUGUGUGGUUAAAUCGGCCUUAAAAUCUAGACCCUUAGAUGGAGAGGAAUGGUGGGAAAUGUGAACCAAUCGUCAAAUCGUCAAAUUUCGUAUUGUUUAUUUAUUUGGAGGGAAGAAUUUAGACAAGUGGUAUCAUUAUCAGAUUAAAAAUCCCUAUCAGGACAAAAUAAGAAGAUAACAGAUCAGAAAUCACUAUCACUACUAGAUAAUGAACGGACGGUGAGAAAAUCGUAAGAGAUUAUAUUCAUUCACGUACGAGUUGCUGCGGUGGAUUGCAGACUGAUUCAGAUUAAUAAAAUGACAGAGAUGGAUGCUGACUGCUGAUGGUUUUUGAGUGGAACAAAUUAAACAUUCAGGUACAAAGACUUUGAGCCAUUAGAUUUAAAUCAACACAAUCCCGUGCACUGUUAUGAAAUUUAUACCAGUCAACUUGUUCUGCAUUUUGUUAUAUGUGGCAACACGUUGUUUUCUCAGUCACGCCACUUAGUUUACUAGUUGUACCUUAUAUUCAAUGAUUUAUUUAUUGUAUAGUUUUAUAUUGGUUCAAGAUUGGCAAAUGUUGGACCAUUUCAGAAACAAAUUUCCUGGUAGCUCACGAGGGAAGAAAAAAAGAACUGAGGAAACUACAAGGUAAUGAGUGUAAUGAAAAAAAUUGACAAGUGCAGUGCAGUGCAGGUAGAGAAGAACAAAAUGAUCAUUCUGACCAUUUCUGUGGUAGAAUAAAACAGUUGGACCUGGUGCUAGACAUUAAAUUAUAAAAAGGGAAGGCCGUUUCAUCCACAUAAAACAAUAUCAUUCAAGAAUAUCAAAAUAUAUCAUACAAAAUUGUCAAUACAUCAUUCACACAACAAAAUCCUUUACUUCUCUAUCAUCUUUUCAGUUUCAAGUUUCAACCCAGAAGUUAAAGCACUAGCUAGCAGCAGUAGCAGCAAGAGAGGAGAUGGCAGAAAGUGUGGUGAGCUUUUUGCUUGACAGGCUCACCUCCAUAAUAGAAGAUGAGGUGAGACUACUGUCAGGGACCCGAGCAGAGAUGGAGGAUAUUGUCGAGGAGUUAGAGCGCAUCAAGGCCUUCUUAAGGGUUGCUGAUGCAAAGGAAGACAGUGACCCCCAGCUCAAAGUGUGGGUUAAACAAGUUAGAGAUGUGGCUUAUCAGAUUGAAGAUGCGCUUGAUAAAUUCAGGCUUUCUCAUUCAUGUUAUCAUAGGCCUGGAUGCCAUGUUUCCCUUCAUGAGCUCUCUUGCAUCUUUAACAAGUUGAAAGCUCGCCAGCGAAUUGCUACUGAUAUUCAAAGCAUAAAAUCAAAAGUCAGAAGCCUCUCCGAGGGACAUCAGAAUUACAAACUUGAUGUUGACCCUGGCUCAAGCAAGGUUCCUAAACAUCAGUACAGUCAAGGGGAUGCUCUUUUGCUGGAAGAGGCUGACCUUGUGGCAAUUGGCGAACCUAAAAGGCAGCUGAUUGAGUUGCUUAUGCAGGAGGGUGGCGAUGCUGGACGCCAGGCAGUCGCGGUCGUUGGGAUGGGAGGGCUGGGGAAAACCACCUUGGCCAAGCAAGUCUAUAAGGAUGCAAGAGUUAAGAAAAAUUUCAAGGUACAUGCUUGGAUCACUGUUUCUCAAUCAUUCAAGAUAAAGGAGCUCCUAAGACACAUAGUUGAAAAAAUCUUCAAAGUUAUCAGGAAACCAGUCCCUGAAGAAUUUGAUAGCAUGGACACCAACAAGCUAAGAGAAAGAAUAAAAAAAUUGCUGCAGCACAGUAGGUACCUGAUUGUUCUAGAUGAUCUUUGGCACAUAGAUGCCUGGGAUGUCAUCAAUCAUGCAUUGCCUAACAACAAUGGUAGUCGAGUAAUGAUCACUACUCGUAAUGCGUCUGUAGCCUCUGCCUCUUGCAUGCACAACCACGUUAUGGUCUACCAUUUAGAGCCCUUAUCUCCAGAAGAGUCUUGGACUCUUCUCUGUAGGAAGACAUUUCAGGAAGAGUCAUGUCCUCCCAAUUUGGAGGAAAUCUGUCGAUGCAUCUUAAGCAAAUGUGGGGGACUGCCCCUUGCAAUUGUGGCAAUCGGUGCUGUUCUAGCUAUGAAAGACAAGAAAAACAUAGAAGAUUGGGCUGCCGUUUGUGGCAGUAUUGGUGCUGAAAUUGAGGAAAAUGACCAACUUGACAACAUGAAAAGGUUGUUGUAUCUCAGUUUCAGUGAUUUACCAUACCAUCUCAAAUCUUGUUUCUUGUAUCUGAGUAUCUUUCCUGAUCUUUAUAAAUUCGAGUAUAUGAGAUUAAUUCGAUUAUGGAUUGCUGAAGGAUUUGUUAUUGAAAAGGAAGGAAAGACACCAGAAGAAGUUGCAGAGAGUUACCUUAAGGAGCUACUGGACAGAAGUUUGAUCGAAGCAGAAGAAAUAGCUACCGAUGGGAGGGUCAAAUCAUGUCGGAUCCAUGAUCUUUUACGGGAGAUUGUCGUUUUGAAGUCUAGAGAGCAAAACUUUGCAGCAAUAGAGAAAGAGCAAGGCACAAUGUGGCCUGAAAAAGUUCGACGACUAUCAAUUUUUAACACGUUGCAGAAUGUACAACAAAAGAGGAUUCCUUCCAAACUUCGUUCGUUGCUCAUUUUUGGGGUAGAAGAUUCACUUACUGAGUUUUCAAUAUCAAAAUUGUUUCCUAGAGGUCUUCCGCUGCUUACUGUAUUAGACUUGGAAGGUGCACCUCUAGAGACAUUUCCAAAAGAGGUUGUCAACCUUCUUCUGCUGAGAUAUCUUAGUUUGAGGGGUACCAAGGUGAAACAAAUUCCAAGCUCCAUCAAGAAGCUUCAAAACCUAGAGACCUUUGAUCUUAAACACUCUCAUGUCGUUGAGUUGCCUGCUGAAAUUUUGAAUCUCAAGCGACUGCGGCAUCUCCUGGUAUAUCGCUAUGAAGUUGAAUCUUAUGCACGAUUUAAUUCCAGAUAUGGAGUGAAGGUUCCUGCAGGAAUAUGUGGCUUACAAUCGCUCCAAAAGCUGUGUUUUGUAGAGGCAAAUCAAGACAAUGGCGCUUUAGUGGCAGAGCUUGGGAGAAUGAAUCAACUGAGGAAGUUAGGCAUUUUCAAGUUGAGACAAGAAGACGGGGUCACCUUAUGCUCAUCUAUCGAAAAGAUGCGCAACCUUCGGUCAUUGUCUGUAUCUUCAGUGGAGAAGGACAAGAUAAUUGAUCUGACACACAUUUCUUGUCCUCCUCAAUUUCUUCAGCGACUAUACUUGACGGGGCGUUUAGAAAACUUACCGCAUUGGAUUUCUUCUCUCCAGAACGUGGUGAGACUGUUUCUGAAAUGGAGUCGGCUAAAGGAGGAUCCUCUAGUGCAUCUUCAAGGUUUGCCAAAUCUAGUACAUCUUGAACUCCUUCAGGUUUAUGAGGGAGACUGUUUGCAUUUUAAGGCAGGAGGGUUUCCAAGCCUGAAGUUACUAGGUAUUGACAAACUAGAUGAACUGAAAUUGGUAAGCAUGGAUAAGGGAGCAAUGCCUUGCCUAGAAAAGUUAAUUAUCCAGCGGUGCAGAUUGUUGAAGAAGGUAUCAGGCAUUGAACAUUUACAAGACCUAAAGCUGCUCGAAUUUUUUGACAUGCCAAACGAAUUAAUAAGGCCAUUUCAUCCAGAUGGCGGGGAAGAUCAUUGGAAAGUUGCUCACAUUCCAGAGGUUUACUCUUCGUAUUGGAACGUUGGGGGUUGGGAUGUUUAUUCAUUAGAGAUCACUGAUGGGGAGAGUACUAGUCAUCAAGGUGCCAUGAGGAGGCUGGAACCUAAUAUUCUAUGGAAGGCUUAGCUUUUGGUUCUGCCUUAUAAUUACAAACUGCAAAUGAUAGAAUCACUGGAAGCAUGUUUUAUCAGAAUGCUUCCUACUACUGCAUACAUAUGAAUCUUAUAACUUCAAUUCUUGUAUUCUUUUAUAUCUUUCUCUACCCAAAAAGAACAUACUUGUUAUUAAGGUUCAUUUUCCCCCCUCUGUACUUUUCUUGCUAGUAAGUAAUUCAUAUUCUAGAGAGCAAAUUUUCUUUUCUUCUUCAAUGUUUUUGGAUAACAUCCAUUGAUUGUUUUAGGGUUUAGGAAGUUCCUGAGAGAGCCUAAGGAGGUUACACAGUGAUCCUAACUGCUGCUAGAGUUGGGUUGACAUUCCUCCACAAACUAAAAUUUAACAUAUAAGCUUUGCAACUCCAAAACACACUUCUUUCAUUUGGGAAAAGAACUUAAUUUAUAUGUAACUAGGCAAACAAUAGCAUAGCAAUUCGUUGUACAUGGGCUUCAGUGGCCUGUUGGAUUUGUGGAUGAGGCCCUAUUUCUUAAUCAUUGAAUCAAAUUGAUUAGUCAUUGAAUCAAAUUGGUUAAUUUGAUUCAACAGUUAAGAAAUAAAGUCUCAUCUAAAGUCCUCCACACUAUAGAAUGACUCUCAAGCAAGACAGGCAGAGAGAGAGGAGCAGUUCAAUCAUUAAUGCCUCUAAAAAGUUGAGGCAGAGAAUGUAACGUAGCCAUCACUUUAUCGAUCUAAAGCCAAGUAAAAUUCUACAAUUCCUCCUUCCAUUGCUUGCCAGCAAUCGCACAAUGUUUGCAAUAUCUCCAUUUUAUAUGGCUAGUUGACUUUCCUCGCCACUUCAUACAAAUGAUCUUCCACGUUUCCUUGGAUUGGAAAUAGAGAUAGGAAGAAAGGUCUGACAAAUUUGCCCUCAAAAGAGUCACGUGCAUACCAUGCGAUUUCGUUUCACGGAAAAAAUCAAUGAAAUGUGGAAAAAAUUGACGGUAGGGGCACAUUGGCUAAAAAAAAUAAUUCGUAUUCUUAAUUUACUAAAUAAAAGUUAAAACGUUCAGAGGAAAAUAUAAAAAAAUUGUGAAAAUUUAGGACUGCAUAUUUGUUUUUAUGGAUUUAAAAUGUGAAUUGAAUAUAACAACAUUAUUUAGUAACAAGUCAAGUUGAAUAUAACAUUAUUUAGUAACAAGUCAUAUUUUUGGGAAAUUAUUUAAUUUAUAUUCAUUACGAUAUUUCCAAGAAAAUAAUGGAGUUUUGAUCUAGAACUAUUGUCUUGUUCCUCUUUUUCUUUGGCAGCUUAUACAAGCCUUAGUAAUUAUCCAAAAAACCAUAAAAAGCACAGAAAAAGAGAAGAAAUGUGAGACUAUGCGUGUCUUGUUAGAACUUUCUGCCUCCGAGUCUGACUGGUUAAGCAAAUGCGUUGGUAUCACUAGACAAUUCGCAAUUGGUUGAAUGAACAAUUUUUAAAAAUUAUUAUUUCCCAUUUAAGAGAAUCUCCCUAUUCAUAAAAAAAUCUCGAACAAUCUCUUCAAACUAAAAUUUUCAAAUUGUGGUUUGUUGACCAACAUAGCAAUUUAAAGAGUAAAAUUUGCUACUUUACUAAUUUGUACACUCAACAAGCCUCUUCAAUUUAAUUAAUACAGUACACACAAAAAAUAAAUGAAUUAAAUAAAAUAUUAAAUAAGUAUCGAAAGUCUCCCAUUUGAUUUGAAAAGCAAAGGUUAUUUCUCAAAAAAACAAGAAAAAAAAAAAAAGAAAAAAGAAAAGCAAAGGUUGCCUUUUAUUGAUCACUAGCCCAAUGUAGGCUUUUAUCGUUCCGGGACAACUUUUGUUGUUUCAAAGCUUAAUAAAUGUGUUGAAGAGUGAAAGCGUGCACUCUUUUGUUUUUGUAGAGUGAAUGAAGAGUCUCAAAUUUAGUGAGUAGGUUUGACAAGGUUGUUAGAGAAGGUUUUGUUCAUGUGGCUCACCUAAUUUAGUGUUCCAAAGCUUUUCAAGAGGCUAUUGGAGAUGCUCUAACAAUACAACUACGCAUUUUAAUUAAUUAAGAGGGUUUUUAGGUUUAAUAGUCCUUGAACUUUGACCCGAUUCACAUUUUGGUUACUCAAUUUCCAAAAUCAUUUAUGUGGUCCUUCAACUUUAGUUUUGUUGGAACAAAUGGUCCUGCCGUCAAUUUUGGUAACUUUUUAUGUUAUAUUUGAGCAUGUGCAUCGCACAUUGUGUACUAUUGAGGGUCAAAAUAAAAAAUUGCUUCACUUCUUGGGUACAUGGGUAAUUCCUGGCAUAUUUUAACCCCACAUCCACUUCCCCACCGUUGCAACUUAACUCUCCCCAUCCACAUAUCUCCGUCCCUCCCCAAGCCAAACCCAUUAAAACCCAUCACCAAUCGAGGAAUGAUAUAUCUCCCUUCCUCCAAUCCAACAAAACCAUGUACAACCUCCACCAAACACUGGGCCAAUUAACCCACCCCACCAACAAUUGAUGGCGAUCCCACAACCAACAACCUACAACCCCAUCCAAACCGUACCCACCCUCCUUGUGAUGGCUUAUGCCCCUCACUUUAUAUCAUAUAUUCAAUUUUGUUGAAGAUAUAUAUUUUUUUUGAAAGAAAAAGAUAAUAUUUCGUCUUGGGGAAAGAGGGGUUAGGACUGGGUGGGAUAGUGAGGGUGAGACCAUUUUUCCUAACGAAACUGAAGUUGAAGGACUACGUGAACAAUUUUGGAAAUUGAGGGACCAAAAUGCGAAUCGGGUCAAAAUUUAGGGACCAUUAGACCUAAAAACCCUAACCAAGAUUAUGUUCAUGCUCAAUUUUUGUGUGUGGUUAAAUCGGCCUUAAAAUCUAGGCCCUUAGAUGGAGAGGACUGGUGGGAAAUGUGAACCAAUCGUUAAAUCGUCAAAUCGUCAAAUUUCAUAUUGUUUAUUUAUUUGGAGGGAAGAAUUUAGACAAGUGGUAUCAUUAUCAGAUUAAAAAUCCCUAUCAAGACAAAAUAAAAGGAUAACAGAUCAGAAAUGGACAUGUUUGGUAGGUUGGAUUAGCCUUGACAGUGUUAAAUAACACUUUAAAACCCACAUUUGGUAAAAGAGGGACUAAGAUUAAUGGGAUUAUAUAGUCCAUAAGUCAAAAAAACACCGGACUCGCUCGUCCAAUUUAGUGAGGAUGAAAUGCAGUUCGCAAAAUAGCGAGCGUGCUAUUUUGAAAGUACGAGUCCGACCCACACAGCGACCUCCACGAGCUACUCUUGGUUGAUGAGUAUCUCCUCAUUCAUGUCGGGCAAUAUGGCAGUGACUAGCUCUUCGAACUCGAUGGUUUCAUUUCCGUUAGCGACGAGGACGUGGAGCUAGUUGCCGGUGGGCUUGAAGCCUAGCGACCGGAGCAGGGCGGCGAGCUCGAGCUAGGUGAGGCUGCCGUUGGAGUCCAUGUUGAAUCCGUAUUCAACCUUUUAGUUAUAAUUCUAAAAACAUCUUUUUGAUGUUUUCAUUUUAAGAGAAUGGAUUCAACAAAUAGAGCACCGCCAUCCAGUCAAACCCAGAGCUCCACCACCUGUACCAAAUCGAAAAUCAAAUGCCACCAUCAACAAUAUACAUACCAAAUUGAACCACCACCAUCAAACCCAACCAAUCUGCCUAUCAAACCCAACAAUAUACAUACAAAUUGCAGAGAGAUGAGAUGGGUUUUGGAGAGAGAGAACGAGAGAGGUGGGGGAGAGAGGGACAUUUUGCAGAGAGAAUUAAGGUUUGGAGGAAGGAGGAGUGGGUGCUGCGGCAUGAAGAGAGUGAAAAAGAGGGAAGUAAGAAGAAAAGAGACAUGAGAGAAGAGGAAGAAAGAAACGGGCCUAAGAUCGGGAAGGAAGGGAAGAAGAAAAGAGGAAGAAGAAAAGAGGAAGAAAGAAAGAACAUGACAAAAAGAAAAAAGAAAGGAGAUUAAAAAAAAAUCUGAAUUUUUUAUUCUUUAAAUUAUACUUUUUUUUAAUUUAUAAAUUGUUUAUAAAAAUUUUAGCCUUUAAAAAGUAUCAUAAUUUAAAUAUUUUUUAAGUCAAAAUCCCAAAUUAAAUUUAAAUAUUACAAGAAUUAUUUUGGGAGCUUUAGUAAUAUACCCAAAAUAGGACAUGAAAUUAUAAAAAAAUCCUAUAUGGAAUAGACUUUAAAAACACACCAAAAAAUCAUUUACUAUCUAAAAAAUGAGUGUUAAAGUUCCUAUAAAUUACAUCUCUGCCAUUUAUUAACUUAAAACAUGCCUAAUACAAAAAACUCAAAAAAAACCCAAAAUAAGCCCAGCAAGCCGAAGUACAUUGUUAAUACCAUGUCAUAGAAGUGUAUUGUUAAUACCAUAUCAUAGAAAUACAUUGUUAAUAUCAUGUCAUAGAAGUACAAUGUUAAUAUCAUUUCAUAGAAAAACAUUGUUAAUACCAUUUCAUACAAAAAACUCAAAAAAACCCAAAAAAGCCCAGCAAGAUAUCUGAUAUCCUUUGCAAAAAUCACCUCCAAUUGUCCAUAGUUUUACCAGAAGCAAUCGCAAAGGCCCUCUACAAGAAGAAUAAAAAAAGUACACUGUUAAUACUGUGUCAUAGAACUACCUUCGUAGUUAAAAUCACAUUUUGCAUAUCAUAAACUUCCAGUGCACAGCUAUAUAAGCAAAAUAUAGAGCAUGCUUUGUUACUGAAAAAUCUGUUAAUACUAUAUCAUGGAAGUGCACUGUUGAUACUAUGUCAUAGAAAUCAACUCAAUUGCAGGGUAUGAACAGUUUAACAACUGUUCAUACCACUUACUAAAAGCUAACAACUAUAUUUUAUUUGCAUAUAUAAUAGGUACGAUAAAAAUGUACAACUGCAAAAACCCCAUGUUCAUACACCAGCAACCUUGAAAAACAUAACGAAAAACACAACCUUUUGGAACAAACCUAGGAACCCAGAGCAAAAAAAAAAAAAAAGUACACUGUUAAUACUAUGUCAUAGAACUAUCUUCCUAGUGAAAAUCACAUUCUGCAUAUCAUAAACUUCAAGUGCACAGCUAUAUAUAGAGCAAAAUAUAGAGCAUGCUUUGUUACUGAAAAUCUGUUAAUACUAUGUCAUAGAAGUACACUGUUAAUACCAUAUCAUAGAAAUCAACUCAGUUGCAAGGUAUGAACAGUUGUUAUACUAUUCAUACCAGUCACUGAAAGUUAACAACUACAUCAUUUCAUUCGCAUAAUCGGUACAAUAAAAGUGUACAACUCCAUACCACUCAAAAUCAAUUACAUCAUUUUAUUUGCAUAAAUAAUUGAUCCUUUAUCACUCCACAUACCAUAAACAUUGAAGAAUCUGAAAUAUGACACUUAGAAUAAGAUAAUAUGCUAUCUAACAGCAAAUUCUUAUAUACAUUUGUGUAUGAUAAGUCUGGUAAACUCACAACAGGCAGGAUUAGGGGACCCGACGUGGCUAGAUAAGUUGUCACCCUCAUCUAUCAUGCUCAUGGCACAAGAAGUCUCUGUUGUACCGUAUCCUUCAAUUACUUAGUCAAAGCCCUUGCGAUUUUCGUUACAUGCAGCAAAAAUUUCAUUGGUCUUAACACUUGAGAAAUUUUUAUUUUUAUUUUUAUUAAAUUGCAUUCUAUAAGAUAGCCAACUUACACUCUAAGGAAGUCCAUGACAUUAGGGGACAAGGGUGAAGCACCGGAUCCCAUAUUGAACACCAAUCUGUCCCAUAUUGGUGAUCCAUUUGAACUUGAAAUAAUUGUUUAACAUAGAAAAAUUUAACAACAGCAUGACUUCAGUAAUAGCCUAUGAGAAGGUGAAGUUAUUAGUGUAUAUUACCACUCAUUAGACCAUUCAAAUCAAAUCAAAUCAAAUCAGACCAUUCUUCAUGUUCAGCCUAGGCUAGUUCACUUUGAAGAGCCACCAAAUCUUUUUCAAGUUCAUCAAUUUCAAUAUCUGCCUUUGUUAUUAAUAUCUUCAACACUAAUAUGCAACAUUUCUCAUUUAUUGCAUCUUCUUCUAUCAGAUCUAUAACCAUAAGAAAAGACCAGUGUGGCUAUUAAAGCACAAACAGGGAAAACAAGGAAUGACACCAAUGAAAUAGAAAGAAACAUAUUAUACCACGACCACAACCAAAGUAGAAGUUGUACUCCCAUCCAGAUUCUGUGCCAUAAGUGCUCCCAGGUGCAACUGAUAAGCAAGCAUUCAGUUCAGCUAACAUUAGUACAAACUCUACAGCCACAUGUACCUAAGAUAAGAUCUACAACAACGUAUUUCUUCGAUAUGAAAACUAGCCAGCAUGGUGCUGUGAGAAAUAUAUGAAGAAUAGGGUUUGUAUUGAGUAGUCAAACCGUAUACGGAGGCAUGUAUUUUAUACAAGUAAAUGAAAGCUAUUCUAGGAAAACAGAGAAGCUAUUCUAGGUAAACAGAACCUAUUUAUGUUGAUUACAAUUCUAUCCUACAACUGCUCCUAAUUAGAUCAUAAUCAGAUCAUUGACUAUUUUGUUUCCUUUUACACUCCCCCUCAAGUUGGAGUAUGGAUGUUAAUUAUACCCAACUUGCUGAGAUGCGUAUGAAAGAUGGGUGCCCUUAGCGGUUUUGUAAAGUUGUCAGCUAUCUGAUUUCCUGUUGGCACAUAAGCUGUCUUGAUUUCACCCUUUUGGAUCUUUUCACGAACUGUGUGACAAUCUAGCUCGAUAUGCUUAGUCCUCUCAUGGUACACCGGAUUUGCAGCAAUAUGUAAGGCUGCUUGAUUAUCGCAAAACAAUCUUGCUACCCGUAAAUCUCUCAACAAAUAUCUUAACCAAGUAAGUUCACAAGUGGCUGCAGCCAUCGAACGGUAUUUUGCUUCGGCUGAUGAUCUAGACACUGUGACUUGCUUCUUACUCUUCCAGGACAUGAGUGAGUUUCCAAGGAAAAUGCAAUAUCCUGUCACUGAUCGUCGUGUCAUAGGACACGUGGCCCAAUCCGCAUCACAAUAACCAACCAAACUUAGCUGACUUGUUGUAGAAAACAGUAAGCCUUGCCCAGGUGCGUUCUUCAGGUAUUGAAGAAGAUGACGUGCUGCCUUGAGGUGGUGUAGCUUGGGUUCUUGCAUGAACUGACUCAAAGUAUUCACUGCAUAUGUAAUCUCUGGCCUGGUGAUGGUGAGGUAGAUUAAUUUUCCAAUUAAUCGUCGAUAUUGAGCUGGUUCCUUGAGGGCAUCACUACCUGUUGUCGUUAGUACCAACUCAGGUUCCAUGGGGACUUUAGUGGGCUUCACUCCAAGCAAACCAGCUUCCUCCAAUAUGUCUAGAGUGUACUUUCGUUGACAAAUUGAAAUCCCGUCUUUAGAGCGUGCAACUUUCACACCAAGAAAAUAUUUUAAUAGUCCAAGAUCUUUAAUCCGAAAACAUCCGUUGAGAAACUGCUUGAGAUUCUGAAUUUCCUGCUCAUCAUGUCCUGUAAUGAUCAUGUCAUCAACAUACAGUAAUAUCACAUUAAUAGAGUUUCCACGAACCAAAGUGAACAACGAGUAAUCGGCUCGAGAUUGUUGGAAACCAAUGUCUUGAAUGGCAGAAGAGAACCGACGAAACCAAGUGCGUGAGGCUUGUUUAAGACCGUAUAAUGAUUUGUGGAGUCGACAAACCAUCUGCUCCCCCGGUCGACAAUAACCAGGAGGUGGUAACAUGUAAACCUCCUCAAGCAAAUCCCCAUGUAAAAAUGCAUUUUGUACAUCCAUUUGAUGUAAAGGCCAAUCGCGAAUAGCAGCAAUGGAUAACAAGCAACGAAUGGUGAUCAAUUUGGCCACGGGAGCAAAAGUCUCCUUGUAAUUGAUGCCCUCGCGUUGUGUAAACCCCUUUGCGACGAGUCGAGCUUUGUAGCGCUCGAUGGUGCCAUCCGAGUGAUACUUGAUUUUGUAGACCCACUUGCACCCAAUGGGGCGAUGACCCAAGGGCAGAGGGACAAGGGACCAAGUACGGUUGUCCUCAAGGGCCUUGAUCUCAGAACUCAUGGCAGCAAGCCAUUUGGGAUCUUGACUUGCCUGUGCAUAAUUUGCUGGUUCAACCAAGUGAGAAAUGUUGGAAACAAAAGUACGGUGUGCAUGAGAUAACUGAGUGUAAGAGACAUACCGAUGAAGGGGAUACCGGGUGCUGGACGUAGAAGAAGAGGGAAGACCAGGCUAGAGCAGAGCAGCAUGAUGGGCCUGGUAGUGUUGAAAAUGAGCCGGUGGAUGGGAGGGUCUGUUGGAACGACGAAGGGGAAGAGGAGGGCCGGUUGCAAUGGUGUCCGGAUCGGGUGAAGGGAUGUCUGGGAGAGCUGGGAUAUGUGGUGGAUCGGUUGGGUCUUGUGAAGGUGACACAGGGAGAUCGAGAGGAAGGUCUGGAGUGGUGAUGGAAGAUCUGGACGGUGAGGACAGGAGCUCUGGAGGUGUAACAGCUAAAGGGGGGUCGGUGUGUGGGCUGGAAUGAGUUGGGGAUGUUUCAAAAAAAUUGGGCCCAGCUAUGUGUGGGUCAGUAAGUGGGAUAGGUAAAACUGGGAGGUCUUGUUGGUCUUCACAGGGUAAGUGAGCAAAAGGAAACAUGUGUUCAUGAAAUAGAACAUCACGUGAAGUAACAAUUUUGUGGUUAUCAAGAUCAUAGACAAGGUAACCCUUCUGACCAAGGGGAUAUCCUAAAAAUAAACAACGUCGCGCACGAGUAUCAAAUUUGUGAAUGGGAGUGAGAUUCGUAGCAUAGCAUAAACACCCAAAAACCCGGAGGUGAGAAUAGGUAGGUGGAACCCCGUGCAACAGUUCAUAAGGGGAUUUAUGGGCAAGUAAGGGUGUAGGGAGUCGAUUGAUGAGAUAAGAAGCAGUUUGAAGACUUUCUCCCCAAAAUUUCAAAGGAACAUUAGCUUGAAAACGUAAGGCUCGAGCAACAUUCAAAAGAUGGCGGUGUUUGCGUUCAACAACCCCGUUUUGUUGCGGUGUGUGAGCACAAGUGUGGUGAAAAAUGGUACCACGACUAUCCAAAAAAGAACGCAUGGAGAUGAAUUCACCACCGUUAUCAGCACGGAGAACUUUGAUAUCAUGAUUAAAUUGCGUUUUGACCCAAGCAAAAAAUGAUUUUAACAAGAUUUGUGUGUCAGACUUAAAAUGCAUAAGAUGAAUCCAUGUGAAGCGAGUAAAAUCAUCCACAAUAGUUAAAAAAUAUCGUGCCCCAGAAUGUGUAGGAAUUUUGUGUGGGCCCCAUAUAUCACAAUGUAUUAGAUCAAAAGGUGCGGUAGAUUUUAUUGAACUAUGAGUAAAAGGCAAGCGUGUUUGCUUUGCAAGAGGACAGACAUCACAAACAUGCGUAGAAUCAAACAUAAUAUGGGGAAUGGCUUUGGAUAAAAAAUAGAGAGGAGCAGAGGAAGGGUGCCCAAGGCGUUGGUGCCAGAGAUCCGAGGUACGGUGAAUAUGAUGAGCUAGGUGGGGAUUUUGUUGUGGCGUAAGGUAGUAGAGCCCAUCAAAAUGCUUGCCCAGGCCAAUCAUCCUCUUCGUUUCCACGUCCUGCACAACACAAAAAUCCGGAUAAAAUGUCACCAUACAAUUCAAUGCUCGAGUUAAUUUACUCACAGACAAUAAGUUCACACGAAAUUUGGACACAUGUAGAACUCCAUCAAGAGACAAAUAAGGUGUCAGGCGCACAGAUCCUAUACUUUCAAUGGCAACGUGCUCACCAUUAGGCAAACCAACAAAAUCAUGCUGAGUCCCAAUAUGAGUAUAAUGCGUGGGUGUUAAACGAGAUAUGUGAUCUGUUGCUCCACUAUCCACAAUCCAAUGUAAGGUAGAAUGCGAAUCAUGAUGUGCAGUAUUGCAAGUGGGGGAAAAUGUACCUGUCGCAUGCAAAUGAUUGGGCAUUACCGUUCUUAUUGUGAAGCAUAGCAAGGAGUUGAUUGUAUUGCUCGGUUGUGAAGGUGGGGCCUCCAGUAGCAGAAGCUGUUGGACCCUUGGUAGGAGGUGUUUCCAAUUCUACAUUGUGAGCAGCAGCCCUCUUGUCAUUGUGAGCAGGUGGCUUCUUAUUCCUGGGUUGCACAUUCUUCCCAUGCCAUUUGUGACCAAUUGGAAAUCCAAUGAUGUAAUAGCAAUGAUCAACUGAAUGACCCUCUUGGUCACAGUGAGAGCAUUUGGAGGGUUUGUAGGGGCGGAAAAAGCCUGUGGUCGCAGGAGCACGCGAAGUCUGCAUAGCGUGAGAAUAAGAUGGAUUUUCUCGGCGACUUGCCACUUCCAUCUGUCUCUCAUGUUGGAGAAUUAACCCAUGGACUCUUCGUGUAUCAGGAAUAGGAUUCAUCAUCAAAAUGGAGCCACGAACAGUGGAGUAAGAAUCAUUUAAUCCCAUUAGAAAUUGCAUGACCUUCUCCUUUUCCUCACGAUCUGCAAGCUUUUUCAGGCCCUCACAGUCACAAAUGAGGGGUUCAUGAUAAAUAGACAGUUCAUCCCAAAGUGCUUUGAGUUUGGUAUAGUAUAUGGAGACUGAUUGUUGUCCUUGACGACAUUCGACAAUUUCUUGUCGAAUUUGGUGGAUCCUGGAGUCAUUCCUCUGGGAAAAUCUGUCUUUGAGAUCGUUCCAAACGGCGGCUGUUGUGUCAGAAUAGAGGACGCUGUUGGCAAUGUCGGGAUGAAUCGAGUGUAGGAGCCAUGACAAUACCAUGUCGUUGCAACGCUGCCACAUAGGAAAUUUGGCAUCAGUUGAUGGUGGUGCUUUGACAGACCCAUCGAUUAGUCCAAGUUUAUUCUUGGCACUGAGACUGAGACGCACCGAGCGACUCCAUUGUCCAUAGUUAUUUCCUUUGAGUGGUGCGUUGGCAAGGGUGAGCCCUGGUGUGUCGGAAUGGUGCAAAACGAGAGGAUCAGAUAUGGUUGACGAAUUGGUGAGGGUCGUUAAGUCUGUGGCUUGUUGAAUUGGGAGGAUUGUUGAAUCUGUGCGUUGUGGUUCACCCAUGGUGGUGUGCUUAGUAGUUUUGUGGGUGUCUGUAGCGGAAGGUAGGUGGGUUUUCAGAGUCACCAGUCUUGGUGCUCUGAUACCAUGUGAGAAAUAUAUGAAGAAUAGGGUUUGUAUUGAGUAGUCAAACCGUAUACAGAGGCAUGUGUUUUAUACAAGUAAAUGAAAGCUAUUCUAGGAAAACAGAGAAGCUAUUCUAGGUAAACAGAACCUAUUUAUGUUGAUUACAAUUCUAUCCUACAAAUGCUCCUAAUUAGAUCAUAAUCAGAUCAUUGACUAUUUUGUUUCCUUUUACAGGUGCAAGAGAGGUUAAGGAAACCUUGAUGAUUUGGUGAAUCCCGUAGAUCCCAAGAGUCAUAUGGCGAACUCCAUAGAUCCCAAGCCAUGAAUUUCAAAGGUAUAUAUAUAUAUAUAAUAUCCUGAAAUGCAAAUAUGACGAAGUCAUGAUUCUAUGACCAAGACAUUAGAGCACAAAGAUAGUUAAGUUCAUUCAUUUGAUAUAGAAGUUUGAAGAAAAUGCUAUAACUUGAAAGAGGGCUUAACCUCAGGCUCAGAAUAUCAUGUCAACCAAGUCCAAUUAUCCAGCAACUUAGUUUAUAAAAAUGGAACCCAAAUCGUAAUCAGCAGUACACCACUAGAAGUUUAAUGAAUAAUGUAAGUCUCAGUGUUACGAUCGUCGAGGUUCUAGUCAUUCAUGCCUUCGAUUGCGUCCUUCAUGGCCUUCUCGUUGCUGAAGGUGACAAAGCUAAAGCCAAAGCCCAUGGACCUCCUGAUCUCACAGUCGUUGAUGAUCUGAAAACACAAAAAGAAACCAAAUCAAAUCAGAUCCGUCCAUCAAAACCAAAACGUCAGAGUAUAAUCAAACAAAUACAAAUAAUAAACAAAAAUGAAAAGGAAUCGAUCGAUCUUCAAUCUUUGGGAGAGAAAGAUCAAGUAACAUAGAGAAACAGAAGAUCAAGUAGCAGAGAGAGAACAUGCGUCAAAUGGCCCUUCGAUUCGAUGAUCUCGCCGAACGGAGAAAAGGCCCUCUCCAAUGCAUCAUUAGAAUGAUGAGGUUGAACAAAAACUGAAAAUUUGGGUUGAAGAUGAAGAUGAGAGACUGGAGGUCGUGAAAUGAAAUCUGAUAUGGUGUUGAUUAGAAUUCCAAUUUUAUGUUAAAAGGGUAAUAAAGGUAUUUCGUUUUAAUAAUUAAAAUAAAAAAUACACAGCUGUCUGUUUUUGGGUUUAUUUUGGGUGUGUUUAUAUACAUUAAGUAGUAUAGGGUCUUUUUAUAGUUUUAUGUCUAGGAAUGAGUAUUUAACUAAUUUUGUAAAUUAUUUUUUAGUCCGACACAGCACCAAACAUAGGUCUUCACUAUUUUUACAAUCCAACUUCUUAGUCCGACACAAUACCAAACGUAGGUCAGUAUUUAAUUCAGCUUAAGUCAAUCCGAGCAAAUCCAAGACAGUCCAAGGACUUAAUCCAGUCCAUGACAGUUCGCAAUACCAAACGACCCCCUAUCAGUACUAAAUAGUGAACGGACGGUGAGAAAAUCAUAAGAGAUUGUAUUCAUUCACGUACGAGUUGCUGCUGUGGAUUGCAGACUGACUCAGAUUAAUGAAAUGACAGAGGAUGCUGACUGCUGAUGAUUUUUGAGUGGAACAAAUUAAAUAUUCAGGCACAAAGACUUUGAGCCGUUAGAUUUAAAUCAACACAAUCCCGUGCACUGUUAUGAAAUUUAUACCAGUCAACUUGUUCCACAUUUUGUUUUUAUGUGGCAACACGUUGUUUUACAGUCACGCCACUUGGUUUACUAAUUAAACCUUAUAUUCAAUGAUUUAUUUAUUGUAUAGUUUGAUAUUGCUUCAAGAUUGGCAAAUGUUAGACCAUUUCAGAAACAAAUUUCCUGGUAGUUCACGAAGGAAGAUAAAAAGAACUGAGGAAACUACAAGGUAAUGAGUGUAAUGAAAAAAAUUGACAAGUGCAGUGCAGUGCAGGUAGAGAAGAACAAAAUGAUCAUUCUGACCAUUUCUGUGGUAGAAUUAAAUUAUAAAAGAGAAGGCCAUUUCAUCCACAUAAAACAGUAUCAUUCAAGAAUAUCAAAAUAUAUCAUACAAAAUUAUCAAUACACCAUUCACACAACAAAACCCUUUUCUUCUAGCAAGCACUCUUCUCUAUCAUCUUUUCAGUUUCAAGUUUCAACCCAGAAGUUAAAGCACUAGCUAGCAGCAGUAGCAGCAGGAGAGGAGAUGGCAGAAAGUGUGGUGAGCUUUUUGCUUGACAGGCUCAGCUCCGUAAUAGAAGAGGAGGUGAGACUACUGUCAGGGACCCGAGCAGAGAUGGAGGAUAUCGUCGAGGAGUUAGAGCGCAUCAAGGCCUUCUUAAGGGUUGCUGAUGCAAAGGAAGACAGUGACCCCCAGCUCAAAGUGUGGGUUAAACAAGUUAGAGAUGUGGCUUAUCAGAUUGAAGAUGCGCUUGAUAUAUUCAGGCUUUCUCAUUCAUGUUAUCAUAGGCCGGGAUGCCAUGCUUCCCUUCAUGAGCUUUCUUGCAUCAUUAACAAGUUGAAAGCUCGCCGGAGAAUUGCUACUGAUAUUCAAGGCAUAAAAUCAAAAGUCAGAAGCCUCUCCGAGGGACAUCAGAAUUACAAACUUGAUGUUGACCCUGGCUCAAGCAAGGUUCAGAAACAUCACUACAGUCAAGGGGAUGCUCUUUUGCUGGAAGAGGCUGAUCUUGUGGCAAUCGGCGAACCUAAAAGGCAGCUGAUUAAGUUGCUUAUGCAGGAGGGUGGCGACGCUAGACGCCAGGCAGUCGCGGUCGUUGGGAUGGGAGGGCUGGGGAAAACCACCUUGGCCAAGCAAGUCUAUAAGGAUGCAAGAGUUAAGAAAAAUUUCAAGGUACAUGCUUGGAUCACUGUUUCUCAAUCAUUCAAGAUAAAGAAGCUCCUAAGACACAUAGUUGAAAAAAUCUUCAAAGUUAUCAGGAAACCAGUCCCUGAAGAAGUUGAUAGGAUGGACACCAACCAGCUAAGAGAAAGAAUAAAAAAAUUGCUGCAGCACAGUAAGUACCUGAUUGUUCUAGAUGAUCUUUGGCACAUAGAUGUCUGGGAUGUCAUCAAUCAUGCAUUGCCUAACAACAAAGGUAGUCGAGUAAUGAUCACUACUCGUAAUGCCUCUGUAGCCUCUGCCUCUUGCAUGAAUAACCACAGUAUGGUCUACCAUAAAGAGCCCUUAUCUCCAGAAGAUUCUUGGACUCUUCUCUGUAGGAAGACAUUUCAGGAAGAGUCAUGUCCUCCAAAUUUGGAGGACAUCUGUCGAUGCAUCUUAAGCAAAUGUGGGGGACUGCCCCUUGCAAUUGUGGCAAUCGGUGCUGUUCUAGCUAUGAAAGACAAGAAAAACAUAGAAGAUUGGGCUGCCGUUUGUGGCAGUAUUGGUGCUGAAAUUGAGGAAAAUGACCAACUUGACAACAUGAAAAGGUUGUUGUAUCUCAGUUUCAGUGAUUUACCAUACCAUCUCAAAUCUUGUUUCUUGUAUCUGAGUAUCUUUCCUGAUCUUUAUAAAUUCGAGUAUAUGAGAUUAAUUCGAUUAUGGAUUGCUGAAGGAUUUGUUAUUGAAAAGGAAGGAAAGACACCAGAAGAAGUUGCAGAGAGUUACCUUAAGGAGCUACUGGACAGAAGUUUGAUCGAAGCAGCAGAAAUAGCUACCGAUGGGAGGGUCAAAUCAUGUAGGAUCCAUGAUCUUUUACGGGAGAUUGUCGUUUUGAAGUCUAGGGAGCAAAACUUUGCAGCAAUACAGAAAGCGCAAGGCACAAUGUGGCCCGAAAAAGUUCGACGACUAUCAAUUUUUAACACGUUGCAGAAUGUACAACAAAAGAGGACUCCUUCCAAACUUCGUUCGUUGCUCAUUUUUGGGGUAGAAGAUUCACUUACUGAGUUUUCAAUACCAAAAUUGUUUCCUAGAGGUCUUCCGCUGCUUACUGUAUUAGACUUGGAAGGUGCCCCUCUAGAGACAUUUCCAAAAGAGGUUGUCAACCUUCUUCUGCUCAGGUAUCUUAGUUUGAGGGGUACCAAGGUGAAACAAAUUCCAAGCUCCAUCAAGAAGCUUCAAAACCUAGAGACCUUCGAUCUUAAACACUCUCAUGUCGUUGAGUUGCCUGCUGAAAUUUUGAAUCUCAAGCGACUGCGCCAUCUCCUGGUAUAUCGCUAUGAAGUUGAAUCUUAUGCACGAUUUAAUUCCAGAUAUGGAGUGAAGGUUCCUGCAGGAAUAUGUGGCUUACAAUCGCUCCAAAAGCUGUGUUUUGUAGAGGCAAAUCAAGACAAUGGCGCUUUAGUGGCAGAGCUUGGGAGAAUGAAUCAACUGAGGAAGUUAGGCAUUUUCAAGUUGAGACAAGAAGAUGGGGUCACCUUAUGCUCAUCUAUCGAAAAGAUGCGCAACCUUCGGUCAUUGUCUGUAUCUUCAGUGGAGAAGGACAAGAUAAUUGAUCUGACACACAUUUCUUGUCCUCCUCAAUUUCUUCAGCGACUAUACUUGACGGGGCGUUUAGAAAACUUACCGCAUUGGAUUUCUUCGCUCCCGAACGUGGUGAGACUGUUUCUGAAAUGGAGUCGGCUAAAGGAGGAUCCUCUGGUGCAUCUUCAAGGUUUGCCAAAUCUAGUACAUCUUGAACUCCUUCAGGUUUAUGAGGGAGACUGUUUGCAUUUUAAGGCAGGAGGGUUUCCAAGCCUGAAGUUACUAGGUAUUGACAAACUAGAUGAACUGAAAUUGGUAAGCAUGGAUAAGGGAGCAAUGCCUUGCCUAGAAAAGUUAAUUAUCCAGCGGUGCAGAUUGUUGAAGAAGGUAUCAGGCAUUGAACAUUUACAAGACCUAAAGCUGCUUGAAUUUUUUGACAUGCCAAACGAAUUAAUAAAGCGAUUUCGUCCAGAUGGUGGGGAAGAUCAUUGGAAAGUUGCUCACAUUCCAGAGGUUUACUCUUCGUAUUGGAACGUUGGGGGUUGGGAUGUUUAUUCAUUAGAGAUCACUGAUGGGGAGAGUACUAGUCAGCAAGGUACUACUUCUGCCAUGAGGAGGCUGGAACCUAAUAUUCUAUGGAAGGCUUAGCUUUUGGUUCUGCCUUAUAAUUACAAACUGCAAAUAAUAGAAUCACUGGAAGCAUGUUUUAUCAGAAUGCUUCCUACUACUGCAUACAUAUGAAUCUUAUAACUUCAAUUCUUGUAUUCUUUUAU